rnacentral:rRNA from 1 species
UACGUAGGGUGCGAGCGUUGCCCGGAUUUAUUGGGCGUAAAGAGCGCGCAGGCGGCUGGUCAAGUCCGAUGUGAAAUCUCCCGGCUCAACUGGGAAACUGCAUCGGAAACUGAUCGGCUUGAAGGUGGGAGAGGGUAGUGGAAUUCCCGGUGUAGUGGUGAAAUGCGUAGAUAUCGGGAGGAACACCAGUGGCGAAGGCGACUACCUGGCCCAUUCUUGACGCUGAGGCGCGAAAGCUAGGGGAGCGAACGGG